CUAAAGACCAUAUUUUAGAUUAUUUAAAGUCUGACACAAAUGAAAUAUCAAACACAACGCAUGGAAAAGAAAAGUAACUACAAUUUCAAUAAUCAGAAAGAUAAAUGCCCUGAAGAGCUGCAGCUGAAAUUUUCUCAUCUCACAAAGACGGUUUCAGUCAUAGAUAAACAAUGGAAUGCAGUCGAAGGAAAUAUAAAGGAGGAAAUAUAAAGGAGGAAAAACAAUGAAGACGUUCCUGACCACAUGGAUGGCAGCAAAGUCUCCCGUGGGGGUGAAGGAGAAGAUUUUACCGUAUAGUACAUUGUCCCGUGUUAUAUAUAAUAAAAUCUGAUGAAAUUGGAACCAAGGAUCCUUGGCGAACCCCUACAAAACAAGUCCAUAUUGUUAUUCUUCCUCCACAAAACUUUACAGUUGACCCAACGCAGAUAAGGUUAACCAAAACCAGACUCGUCCACCAGAAGGCAAAUAGAGAAGUGUGAUCUGUCUCUCCAUGGAAAGCAUAUCCACAGCUUCAGUGGUGACAUUCUUUACAGCCCUCCUUCCAUCUCCUGGCAUUGUGCUUGGUGAUGUAAGGCUUCAUUCCAGUUGCUCAGUCAUGCAGACCCAAUGCAUAAAGUUCCUAGUGAGCGCAGUUUACGUGUUGACUUUAAUGCAAGAUUAAGUUUGGAGCUGUGAAGAUAUAGAGUCAGCAGAGCAUUAGCAACUUUUAUUCAUUAUGCACCUCAGUACUCAUCAAAGCUGAUCUAUAAGUUUAUGUGGGCUUCACUACUUGCUAUGGUUCUUAACACUUUCACUUCUCAAUAAUACCACUCAUAAUUGAACAUGGAAGAUUUAAGAGGGAAGAAAAUGCAGGACGUGACUUGUUGCAGCGGUGGUGACCUACUACACUACCAUAUUGGACUUCAGGGGGCUCCUCAGAAUGGCCCAGAUUCCUUGCGGUCGUUCUGCAGUGUAAGUUUCACACUUUGGAAUCUCUGGCUGGACAAAAUCCGUCCAGAGAUUCCAAGUGCAUCCGGCACCAACUGAAUCAGUCUACGCUUGGACCACGCUGACAUUGCUGUCCCCCUAAACAAAAUACCAGUUUGAAAUUCCGUAGUGUGAGCCCUGCCUAACAAUUCUUUCCCUUCUAUGUGGAAAAAGAAAUGUAAAUCAAAAUCUGAGACUAUUGCAGAGAUUGAAUAUGAUGAGAAUAACGUCAUACAUCUGUGAAAAUAGAUUGUCUUGGUAAAUUGA